rnacentral:rRNA from 1 species
UACGUAGGGUACAAGCAUUAAUCGGAAUUAUUGGGCGUAAAGGGCGCGUAGGCGGGGACGUAAGUCAGGUGUGAAAUACCAAAGCUCAACUUUGGUGCUGCAUUUGAAACUGCGUUUCUUGAGGAUUGACGGAGAAAGCGGAAUUCCACGUGUAGCGGUGAAAUGCGUAGAUACGUGGAGGAACACCGGUGGCGAAAGCGGCUUUCUAGUUUUUACCUGACGCUGAGGCGCGAGAGCAAGGGGAG